UGCCGGGUCUGUGGUUGAAAGUCGAUGCCAGCCGCAGGCGAAGCGAUCCACGUAAGCCGGCCAAAGCGCCGGUGAGCAUGGUGCGGCUUAGAAGUAAGUCCGUCCGGGCGCAUGCCCGAGAGGCCGAGUAGUGGGGCGCAGAAGCGUAGGAGCGAAAGGUCCGGGCGGCGAGUGUGGGGUCAAAGACCAGGUCAGCCGGU
rnacentral:ncRNA from 1 species